CGGGAAAGCCAGAAGCAGAGGAAUUAGCUAAACAAAAGAAAUCAUGGCGGAGCGUUUCUAUUUGGCACCCUCAAAGGCUGUGAGGAUUGUGGACUGGAAAAACUCUCCCAGAGGGCAAGAGUGUCGCUGCGGCCGGGGAUGGUGAAGAAGGAGAUGGAAGAAAGCAGGACAUGGAGUACAGAGGCCUGAUAAUAUAGAUGGAAGGAAAGGUGAGCUGUUCAAGUUCAAUUCUACCUUGAUUGGAAGGAGAGAGUGAAUGAGCCAUCCAAACAGUGAAUCUAUUGUGGACCUAAGCAUGGAAAAUGAAAAAUGUGACUUCCAUUUUCAGAAUGAGGUUCAGAUGUCAGUCAUGAGACAAUUGUAACCCUGAAGCUUAUAAAGUAAAAGGCAAGGAAUCAUGGAAAAGAGAUGGAGAAGGAAGAAAACAAUUUUGCCACAGUUACAGGAAUCCUGAUUCCACUUGUUUGGGACUACAAUAUUCAAUAAUCUAUCAAUCUGUCUGCCCGUCCACCCAC